UACAAAUACUCUACCGUUAACAACAAUCCUAAAGGCCUGAUUCAUGGCCACGUGGCGGAAUUUUUCGACCGAAACGAAAUUCCUCUUUGUCUUUUUACAAUUAGUUCUGCUUGAGAGCUCAUGAAACAAAGAGAAAUUUCGAUUCGUUCGAAAAAUUUCGCCUAGUGGAAAACCGCCUUAAGGCCUUAAGGCCUUAAGGCCGGAUUCCACGAGGCGGAAUUUUUCGACCGAAACGAAAUUUCUCUUUGUCUUUUUACAAUUAGUUCUGCUCGAGAGCUCUGAAACAAAGAGAAAUUUCGAUUCGGUCGAAAAAUUUCGCCUAGUGGAAAACCGCCUU